rnacentral:sRNA from 1 species
GCCCAGCACUUGUGGACAUGAGGACUUAAAUGUGAAUUCCAACAUAAAAACUAAGCAUACAGAAAAUGUGUCCGUCAAGUCAACAGGAUAGGAUACGCAUUGUCCAUGUCAUUCGAUGCUACAACUUACAACAAGCGGGAAAACAUACGUAGACAUAAUUUUCACGCCGUCCAACCCCAGCACUCCGCUCUUGUAGCUGUGUUCGUGAGACUAACCGUUCCUCCAGCGAGCUAACGGGGCGAUAGGCUUUCGGAAACAAGAGAUAGUAAAGAGGGUGGUGGAAACAUCCGGCUUUGCCUCAUUUUAUAGAUGUGACGUUGUGGUCUUCCUUUUGUUGG